rnacentral:sRNA from 1 species
GCACUGACCCGUCAACUCCCGGUUUCCCGGCGCACGCCCCUCGUGAGAUGCUGUGGUCUUUUCUAGCAACGUCGACAGGCUUUCCAACAAAAUUCCUCUUUCCUGCGCAGAACCGCUCUCCACUCGCAUUUCUUCUGCUCAGAUCCGUAUUCCGAGCCCGCACGCAUACCAGGCUGUGCUCAGGGUCCGGAGGAGGCCGAUCCAGUACCCGUGGGCCCUGUCGGAGGUGAGCCAGCUGGGCGCGCGUUGUUUUCUGACGUGGCCUCGUUGUCUUUCAGGGUGUGUGUACAUUCGAAACUCCACUGAACCUUGAUUGAAGACCUACAGUGUGGCAGUCCAUGGCCUGGGGACUGAUGAUGUCUACCGUAGAAAAGCCUCAGAAAGACAGUAUCAGAGAAGGCUGGAAGAUGAAUGAGACUGAACUUCAGCAGUCAAUAAAGUCAAUAUGAAUUUUUA